rnacentral:rRNA from 1 species
AUUGAACGCUGGCGGCAGGCCUAACACAUGCAAGUCGAGCGAGAGGCGGACGGGUGAGUAAUGUAUGGGGAUCUGCCUGAUGGAGGGGGAUAACUACUGGAAACGGUAGCUAAUACCGCAAACCAUCACAUGUAUCCAGAUGGGUUUAGCUUGUAGGUAAGGUAACGGCUUACCUAGGCGACGACCCCUAGCUGGUAUGAGAGGAUGAUCAGCCACACGGGGACUUAGACACGGCCCAGACUCCUACGGGAGGCAGCAGUGGGGAAUAUUGCACAAUGGGCGCAAGCCUGAUGCAGCCAUGCCGCGUGUAUGAAGAAGGCCUUCGGGUUGUAAAGUACUUUCAGUCGGGAGGCGUUACCGACAGAAGAAGCACCGGCUAACUCCGUGCCAGCAGCCGCGGUAAUUC